GUGUCUUGUUUCUCCGUAAGAGAGCUCAAAUUCAGCACUAAUGCCUGUUUGACUUUGUUGCCUCAUUGCUCUGGAAUCUGGGAUAAAUUGCCGCCGUUGUUCAUCUUGGUAGUCUUGCUUGGAAACUCUGCAGGCUUGUUUCUUCUUUGGUUGGCUGGCUGACAGAUGUCCAUCAGCUUCGUCGUUUACCCCCACCCCAACACAGCUCCAGGCCCCACAGCACGACAAGAAAACCUGGCAAUAACUGCUCCAUGAAACAUGGCCCUAUAAAUGGACACCCAGUAUUCUGGCUGUCAAGAUGACAUUUAAAAAGCCUUUUUUUCCCCAUAGUAUAUUUGUUACUGCAAUUGUAAUGAUCUAAAUCAUACAGUUAGUUAUCAUAAUCCUUCUAUCUGCAGUCAGAUUUUUUUUAUUGUCACAGUUUGUUUCACAUGAUUUCUGUUUACUCUCCCCUCACUGAAUUGUAUUUAGUUCUCCAAUCUGCACAAUGUGAACAGAAACUUUCUAUGUAAGUAAUGUAUGUAAUAAUGACACACACAGCAUUUCUCUGUCCCUGAUUGUGAAAAGUCCAAAGGCUCAGUUUUCAUUCAUUAUCUCCCUAACUCAAUUUCCGGCCGAGCAGCAGAUAGUUACAGCCCAUAACUUUAAGGUAUGCUUACUAAUAACCUGUAAUUAGUUUCUUGUUAAGGAAAGAAGAUAAUAGAAGAGAGGAGAAAAGAAAAGAAGAGAGGAAUGUGAUAAAUGAAUUAAAUACUCCAGCUGCAUGCUGUAAUGUUAAACUGAAACAUCUGCCUCUCCAAAAGAGCAAUCUUGAUUGUCUGCCUUAUCUUUGUUUACUGCUACAAUAGCCUUGUACUGUCUCCAUUUGGUAAACAGAUAAGAAUUGUUUUCUAGAAGUAAAGCCACAGCAUUGUGAUAAAUAGUUGUUAAAUACACCAAAUUUGACUUGUGUUAGUAAGUCAUCCAUUGGUGAAGUCAUCAUGGGCCAUCUUUUAAGAGAGAUAAGAAAAACAUAAAAACAGGUGAUGAUGUCUUCUUUUACACUUCUUCUUUUAUCCUCUAAAAUAAAGUGUAAUCAUUUUCUCCAUUA